rnacentral:misc_RNA from 1 species
AACGCACAUUGCGCCCUUUGGUAUUCCAUUGGGCAUGCCUGUUCGAGCGUCAUUUCAAACCUCAAGCAUGGCUUGGUGUUGGGCGCCUGUCCCGCCGCUUCGCGCGCGGACUCGCCUCAAAGUUUGACCUCGGAUCAGGUAGGGAUACCCGCUGAACUUAA